GAUGAACGCUGGCGGCGUGCCUAAUACAUGCCAGUCGAGCGAACGGACGAGAAGCUUGCUUCUCUGAUGUUAGCGGCGGACGGGUGAGUAACACGUGGAUAACCUACCUAUAAGACUGGGAUAGCUUCGGGAAACCGUAGCUAAUACCGGAUAAUAUUUUGAACCGCAUGGUUCAAAAGUGAAAGACGGUCUUGCUGUCACUUAUAGAUGGAUCCGCGCUGCAUUAGCUAGUUGGUAAGGUAACGGCUUACCAAGGCAACGAUGCAUAGCCGACCUGAGAGGGUGAUCGGCCACACUGGAGCUGAGACACGGUCCAGACUCCUACGGGAGGCAGCAGUAGGGAAUCUUCCGCAAUGGGCGAAAGCCUGACGGAGCAACGCCGCGUGAGUGAUGAAGGUCUUCGGAUCGUAAAACUCUGUUAUUAGGGAAGAACAUAUGUGUAAGUAACUGUGCACAUCUUGACGGUACCUAAUCAGAAAGCCACGGCUAACUACGUG
rnacentral:rRNA from 1 species